AUUGAACGCUGGCAGCAUGCCUUACACAUGCAAGUCGAACGGUAACGCGGGGCAACCUGGCGACGAGUGGCGAACGGGUGAGUAAUAUAUCGGAACGUGCCCAGUAGUGGGGGAUAGCCCGGCGAAAGCCGGAUUAAUACCGCAUACGACCUGAGGGUGAAAGCGGGGGAUCGCAAGACCUCGCGCUAUGGGAGCGGCCGAUAUCAGAUUAGGUAGUUGGUGGGGUAAAGGCCCACCAAGCCGACGAUCUGUAGCUGGUCUGAGAAGACGACCAGCCACACUAGGACUGAGACACGGCCCAGACUCCUACGGGAGGCAGCAGUGGGGAAUUUUGGACAAUGGGCGCAAGCCUGAUCCAGCCAUGCCGCGUGCGGGAAGAAGGCCUUCGGGUUGUAAACCGCUUUUGUCAGGGAAGAAACGCUCUGGGCUAAUACCCUGGGGUAAUGGCGGUACCUGAAGAAUAAGCACCGGCUAACUACGUGCCAGCCGCCGCAGUAA
rnacentral:rRNA from 1 species